AGAGUUUGAUCCUGGCUCAGGAUGAACGCUAGCGACAGGCCUAACACAUGCAAGUCGAGGGGUAACAUGAGUGCUUGCACUUGAUGACGACCGGCGCACGGGUGCGCAACGCGUAUGCAACUUACCUUGUACUGGGGAAUAGCCCGUGGAAACGCGGAUUAAUGUCCCAUAACACUACAAUUUCGCAUGGAAAAGUGGUUAAAGUUCCGACGGUACAAGAUGGGCAUGCGUGACAUUAGCUAGUUGGUGAGGUAAGGGCUCACCAAGGCGACGAUGUCUAGGGGUUCUGAGAGGAAGGUCCCCCACACUGGUACUGAGACACGGACCAGACUCCUACGGGAGGCAGCAGUGAGGAAUAUUGGUCAAUGGGCGCAAGCCUGAACCAGCCAUGUCGCGUGCAGGAAGACUGCCCUACGGGUUGUAAACUGCUUUUGUAUGGGAAGAAACGUUGGUACGUGUACCAAUUUGCCGGUACCAUACGAAUAAGGAUCGGCUAACUCCGUGCCAGCAGCCGCGGUAAUACGGAGGAUCCAAGCGUUAUCCGGAUUUAUUGGGUUUAAAGGGUGCGUAGGCGGUAGAAUAAGUCAGUGGUGAAAUCCUGCAGCUUAACUGUAGAACUGCCAUUGAUACUGUUUUACUUGAGUGUAAUUGAGGUAGGCGGAAUGUGUUGUGUAGCGGUGAAAUGCAUAGAUAUAACACAGAACACCGAUUGCGAAGGCAGCUUACUAAGUUAUAACUGACGCUGAUGCACGAAAGCGUGGGUAGCGAACAGGAUUAGAUACCCUGGUAGUCCACGCCGUAAACGAUGAUUACUCGCUGUAGGCAACACACCGUCUGUGGCUGAGCGAAAGCAUUAAGUAAUCCACCUGGGGAGUACGUUGGCAACAAUGAAACUCAAAGGAAUUGACGGGGGCCCGCACAAGCGGAGGAACAUGUGGUUUAAUUCGAUGAUACGCGAGGAACCUUACCUGGACUUAAAUGUAGAUUGACGUAUCCAGAGAUGGAUAUUUCUUCGGACAAUUUACAAGGUGCUGCAUGGUUGUCGUCAGCUCGCGCCGUGAGGUGUCGGGUUAAGUCCCAUAACGAGCGCAACCCCUGUUGUUAGUUACCAGCACAUCAUGGUGGGGACUCUAACAAGACUGCCGGUGUAAACCGCGAGGAAGGUGGGGAUGACGUCAAAUCAGCACGGCCCUUACGUCCAGGGCUACACACGUGUUACAAUGGCCGGUACAGAGGGCAGCUACUUGGUGACAAGAUGCGAAUCUCAAAAACCGGUCUCAGUUCGGAUCGAAGUCUGCAACCCGACUUCGUGAAGCUGGAUUCGCUAGUAAUCGCAUAUCAGCCAUGAUGCGGUGAAUACGUUCCCGGGCCUUGUACACACCGCC
rnacentral:rRNA from 1 species